GGAGUCGGCCAGGCAAUCGCCCCAGCGCAAGUGAGGGAGGAAAGUCCGGGCUCCAAAGGGUAGAGUGCCAGGUAACGCCUGGGAGGCGCGAGCCUACGGAAAGUGCAGCAGAAAAUAAACCGCCUGUUUUUCAUUCGUGAAAGGCAGGUAAGGGUGAAAUGGUGCGGUAAGAGCGCACCGCGCGACUGGUAACAGUUCGUGGCAAUGUAAACCCCACUCCGGAGCAAGGCCAAAUAGGGAUCUAAUGAUGCGGCUCGUAUCGGAUCCGGGUAGGCCGCUAGAAAUCUGUGGCGACGCAGAUUGAAGAUGAAUAAUUGUCCUCGACAGAACCCGGCUUAUAGGCUGACUCUUCUU
rnacentral:RNase_P_RNA from 1 species